GGCCUUUUGGCGCAAUGAAUAACGCGCCUGACUACGGAACAGGAGAUUCCAGGUUCGAAUCCUGGCAGGCUCG
rfam:Schistosoma mansoni strain Puerto Rico chromosome 6, complete genome